AGCCCCGGGUUUAAUUCCUAGUGCAUUGUUUUUGUCAAUAACGACAAACAGUAAAGUUUUUAGAUCCGGUUGGAGGGCGAUGACCCUUCGAUAUGCGGGCUCAUUAAUGCAAUAAAGACAACCGUCGGAGCUGAGCGCUGGCAGUGCGGGGGCCUGCCAAUUAUAACGCGAGCUGAUGUUCACCGUGUUCCACAAAUGUAUCAACAAUGAAAUGGUAAAUAUCUACCUGGCUAGUAAUAACGAAGAUAUAACGAGUAAGUCCACAA